rnacentral:rRNA from 1 species
GACGAACGCUGGCGGCGUGCCUAAUACAUGCAAGUAGAACGCUAAAGCUUGGUGCUUGCCCCGAGCGGAUGAGUUGCGAACGGGUGAGUAACGCGUAGGUAACCUCCCUGAUAGCGGGGGAUAACUAUUGGAAACGAUAGCUAAUCCCGCAUAACAGUAGAUAUCGCAUGAUCGCUACUUGAAAGGUGCAAAUGCACCACUACCAGAUGGACCUGCGGUGUAUUAGCUAGUUGGUGAGGUAACGGCUCACCAAGGCAACGAUACAUAGCCGGCCUGAGAGGGUGGAUGGCCAGACUGGGAGGGAGACACGGCCCAUAGUGCCUGGGGGAGGAGCAGGAGGGAAUCUUGGGGAAUGGGGGGAAAUCUGACCGGGCAACGCCGCGGGAGUGAAGAAGGUUGUCGGGUCGGGAAGCUCGGUUUUAAGGGAAGAACGAGAUUUAGAGUGGAAAGUUCACACUGUGACGGUAACUGAUCAGAAAGGGACGGCUAACUACGUG